rnacentral:rRNA from 1 species
CGUAGGUGGCAAGCGUUGUCCGGAUUUAUUGGGUUUAAAGGGUGCGUAGGUGGCCCUGUAAGUCAGUGGUGAAAUAUCUCAGCUUAACUGAGAGGGUGCCAUUGAUACUGCAGGGCUUGAGUACAGAUGAGGUAGGCGGAAUUGACGGUGUAGCGGUGAAAUGCAUAGAUAUCGUCAAGAACACCGAUAGCGAAGGCAGCUUACCAAGCUGUAACUGACACUGAGGCACGAAAGUGUGGGGAUCAAACAGGACCUAGAUACCCUGGUAGUCCACACUGUAAACGUUGAUGACUCGAUGUUGGUGAUACACAGCCAGCCGUCCAAGAGCAAUCGUUAAGUCAUACCACCUGGGGAGUACGCCGGCAACGGUG